rnacentral:rRNA from 1 species
GAUGAACGCUAGCGGCAGGCCUAAUACAUGCAAGUCGGACGGGAUUCAGGAGCUUGCUUCUGAUGAGAGUGGCGCACGGGUGCGUAACACGUAUGUAACCUACCUUUAUCAGGGGGAUAUCCUCUCGAAAGAGAGAUUAAGCCCGCAUAAAAUCACAGCACAGCAUUGUGUAAUGAUCAAAUAUUUAUAGGAUAAAGAUGGGCAUGCGGAACAUUAGCUAGAUGGCGGGGUAACGGCCCACCAUGGCGACGAUGUUUAGGGGAUCUGAGAGGAUGGCCCCCCACACUGGUACUGAGACACGGACCAGACUCCUACGGGAGGCAGCAGUAAGGAAUAUUGGUCAAUGGGCGGAAGCCUGAACCAGCCAUGCCGCGUGCAGGAAGACGGCCCUACGGGUUGUAAACUGCUUUUAUACGGGAAUAAACCCAGAUACGUGUAUCUGGCUGAAUGUACUGUAAGAAUAAGGAUCGGCUAACUCCGUG